rnacentral:rRNA from 1 species
AUUGAACGCUGGCGGCAGGCCUAACACAUGCAAGUCGAGCGGAUGAAGGGAGCUUGCUCUUGGAUUCAGCGGCGGACGGGUGAGUAAUGCCUAGGAAUCUGCCUGGUAGUUGGGGAUAACGUCCGGAAACGGGCGCUAAUACCGCAUACGUCCUGAGGUAGAAAGUGGGGGUUCUUCGGACCUCACGCUAUCAGAUGAGCCUAGGUCGGAUUAGCUAGUUGGUGGGGUAAAGGCCUACCAAGGCGACGAUCCGUAACUGGUCUGAGAGGAUGAUCAGUCACACUGGAACUGAGACACGGUCCAGACUCCUACGGGAGGCAGCAGUGGGGAAUAUUGGACAAUGGGCGAAAGCCUGAUCCAGCCAUGCCGCGUGUGUGAAGAAGGUCUUCGGAUUGUAAAGCACUUUAAGUUGGGAGGAAGGGCAGUAAGUUAAUAGCUUGCUGUUUUGACGUUACCAACAGAAUAAGCACCGGCUAACUUCGUG